rnacentral:rRNA from 1 species
GACGAACGCUGGCGGCGUGCCUUACACAUGCAAGUCGAACGGCAGCACGGGAGCAAUCCUGGUGGCGAGUGGCGAACGGGCGAGUAAUAUAUCGGAACGUGCCCAGUCGUGGGGGAUAACGCAGCGAAAGCUGUGCUAAUACCGCAUACGAUCUACGGAUGAAAGCGGGGGAUCGCAAGACCUCGCGCGAUUGGAGCGGCCGAUAUCAGAUUAGCUAGUUGGUGGGGUAAAAGCCCACCAAGGCGACGAUCUGUAGCUGGUCUGAGAGGACGAGCAGCCACACUGGAACUGAGACACGGUCCAGACUCCUACGGGAGGCAGCAGUGGGGAAUUUUGGACAAUGGGCGCAAGCCUGAUACAGCAAUGCCGCGUGCAGGAUGAAGGCCUUCGGGUUGUAAACUGCUUUUGUACGGAACGAAACGGCUCUUUCUAAUAAAGAGGGCUAAUGACGGUACCGUAAGAAUAAGCACCGGCUAACUACGUGCCAGCAGCCGCGGUAA